UUGACCUCAAAUCAGGUAGGACUACCCGCUGAACUUAAGCAUAUCAAUAAGCGGAGGAAAAGAAACUAACGAGGAUUCCCCUAGUAACUGCGAGUGAAGCGGGAAAAGCUCAAAUUUAAAAUCUGGCGUGCCUUUGGUCGUCCGAGUUGUAGUCUGGAGAAGUGUUUUCUGCGUUGGACCGUGUACAAGUCCCUUGGAACAGGGCGUCGUAGAGGGUGAGAAUCCCGUCUUUGACACGGACUACCAGUGCUUUGUGAUGCGCUCUCAAAGAGUCGAGUUGUUUGGGAAUGCAGCUCAAAAUGGGUGGUAAAUUCCAUCUAAAGCUAAAUAUAGGCGAGAGACCGAUAGCGAACAAGUACCGUGAGGGAAAGAUGAAAAGCACUUUGGAAAGAGAGUUAAACAGUACGUGAAAUUGCUGAAAGGGAAACGCUUGAAGUUAGUCACAUCUGCUGGGACUCAGCCUCGCUUUAUUGCUUGGUGCACUUUCUAGUUUGAUGGGCCAGCAUCGAUUUUGACUGUUGGAAAAAGGUGGAGGGAAUGUGGCACCUUCGGGUGUGUUAUAGACCUCUAUCGCAUACAACGGUUGGGAUCGAGGAUCGCAGCACGCCUUUAUGGCCGGGGUUCGCCCACGUACGUGCUAGGAUGCUGCAUA
rnacentral:rRNA from 1 species